rnacentral:lncRNA from 1 species
UCAUUAGAAAUUUAUGGCAAUCACGCGUCCUUUGUGCCUAAAAUUGAUAAUCCUCUUAUCUCUCUGAAACGCCAUAAGAGAGAGGAUUAUGCUUUGUCUCGAAAAAUGAAGCAGAGGCAGUGAUCAGUUACUAAUUCACUAUCGAAGGAUGAAUGGGGUCCAAACCCCAAACCCACCUUGCUCGAGUUUAGCAAGUGGGUCCUUGAAUCUUGCUUAUCUCCCAUGCAUGCAAAACUCCAUAACCAGGCUUUUUUAUUUUUAUGCUUUUUCUUGACCACAUAAUUGGAACAUGGCGUAUUGCUAUAAUGACAUUUCAUGGCAUUGGCCUUGGUCCCUCACUCCUUCAAAACCAGCUUUACAUCUUUGCUUACAAUUUUAUAUCCUGAUGCUUUCCUAGAGAUAUAUGUGACGGAGUUGGAAAGCAAAGUUCAAUAGUGAAUCUCAAUUAUUUUGACAUCAAGGGUACUGUUUUUUGCCCCAUAAAACCAAGCCAAAAACCACUAGGUUCAGUAAAAAGGGAAAUGAAAAUGAUCUUAAUAGCUCAACUAGUGAUCGAGUAGAGCCAAGACUUUUGUUUGGAUUGCAACAAGAAAGUUAUUAACUUCAAAGUUUUAAGAUCAUCCACACGUUUACUUGAGUUGCACCGGUUUUCUCAUAUUUGCUGCCAGCUUUGGGGACAAAGGGGCCCUCUAAAAAAGUUUGCUACUGACGUAUCACCCAAUUUCACUUAAAUUUGAAGCUUCUACAAGGUUAUCGUUUUCGCAGGUUUGAAAAUUUGCUUCACAAAUUCAGCAUCCAUCAUAAAUCUCUCUAGACGUAUACGUAUUUUAGUUUUUCUCCAUACGAACGCCUUUGGUUUCAUAUUAUUUGGUUCAUUGAUUCAGAACUACAGAAUGAAAUCUAGCUGUUCUCGAUGAAUUGCUUCUUUCUUUGGCAUGCCUGGCCGCCCCAUUAUGAAAAGUUAUCAAAUAAGCAGAUCACAAGGUUGAUCUUGGCGGUUGUUCAGUCAUUAAUUUGUCUCAAAAUUCAUGUUUUCGGUUUAUAUAGUCAAAAUUUGUAUGCUUUAACCACCAACUUGUCUGCUUUUUUUUUUCCCGUUUUCUUUUUAUAUUGACUAUUCGUGGAUUUUAUUUUCUUGGUGCCUAGUAUUCUGGGUCCUAUUCAUUUUAAGGUUGCAUAUCAAUUCAGGUCUAUUUCUUUGUAAAACCUACCCUAAAAAACUAGCAGUUGAAAACAUUAAUAACCUUUCUGAAAGCGAAUCUAAC